rnacentral:rRNA from 1 species
CCAGCUCCAAUAGCGUAUAUUAAAGUUGUUGCAGUUAAAAGGCUCGUAGUCGAAUUUGUAGUUCUUUGCCUUCGUCCCGUUCCUUCUGGAGCGUUUGAGACGUCGGAAAGGACUUUGCUGGUGGACACUGUCUUCUGCCCUUUACUGGGUUGGUUGCUGGAUCUGCCUCUUUUACUGUGAGAAAAACAAGGUGCUCAAAGCAGGCUUUAUAGCUUGAAUGCGUUAGCAUGGAAUAAUAAGAUAGGACUUUGCUCCUAUUUUGGAUAGUUGGGGGUGCUCGUAUUUAACGGUCAGCGGUGAAAUGCAUGGACCCGUUAAAGACGAACUUAUGCGAAAGCAUUCACCAAGGAUAUCUUCU